GGAGAAUCGCCUGCAGGGCUCGCAGCCGCGGUCCCACAGAGCAGCAGAGGGUCCAGAUCAGCAGAGGGUCCACACUUCCUGCCAGGGAAGAUCCAGGGCAGAAGGAGAAGAGGGCGGCCGAGGAUGAGAUGCUUGGAUGGCAUCACCGACUCGAUGGACAUGAACUUGGGCGAACUCUGGGAGAUGGUGAUGGACAGGGAGGCCUGGCGUGCUGCGGUCCAUGGGGUCGCAAAGAGUCGGACACGACUAAGCGACUGAACAGCAGCAACUACUCCCUUCCGAUGGGAAGCCUGGCUCCAGCCACAGGAAUCCUGGGGGUGAGGGGAGGCGUGGAAGCACCCCCAAGUGACUUUGGCUGUUUCUCAUUCUGGGUUGGUGAUCCCAAAGCUGCCUGUGGAGACUUCCCAGAGUGUUUCCAACACUUUAAAGCUUGCGCAGAUAGAAAUCAAGUGGAGACUUAAUGCACGUGUAUUUAAGAGCAGUCCUGUAGUCACUCCCACCUAUCCUGAGACGCUCAACAGCUAAGCUGUACU
ensembl:lncRNA